rnacentral:rRNA from 1 species
UGGGGAAUAUUGCGCAAUGGGGGAAACCCUGACGCAGCAACGCCGCGUGAGUGAGGAAGGACUUCGGUCUGUAAAGCUCUGUUAAUGUGGAAAAAUGGUAGCUGGUCUAAUAGGCCGGCUAUUUGAUGGUACACAUAGAGGAAGCACCGGCUAACUUCGUGCCAGCAGCCGCGGUAAUACGAAGGGUGCAAGCGUUGUUCGGAUUUAUUGGGCGUAAAGCGCGCGUAGGCGGACCUGUAAGUCAGAUGUGAAAUCUCGGGGCUCAACCUCGAAACUGCGUCUGAAACUGCAGGUCUAGAAUCUCGGAGGGGGAAGGGGAAUUUCGCAUGUAGGGGUAAGAUCCGUAGAUAUGCGAAGGAACACCAGAGGCGAAGGCGCCUUCCUGGACGAGUAUUGACGCUGAGGCGCGAAAGCGUGGGGAUCAAACAG